CGGUAAUUCCAGCUCCAAUAGCGUAUACUAACGUUGUUGCAGUUAAAAAGCUCGUAGUUGGAUUUCUGAUCUUUGCCAAUGGUUGUGUCGCCGCGUGCGAGGCGCCUUGCGCAGAGGUCAACAUAUGUCACGAGCCAGUGUGAUCUAUUCAUUUAGGUCCACUGGGUAAUGACUCGUUUACUUUGAGAAAAUUAGAGUGUUCAAAGCAGGCAUUUGCCUUGAAUAUGUUAGCAUGGAAUAAUAGCAUAGGACUUCGGUUCUAUUUGUUGGUUGUUCGAGAACUGGAGUAAUGAUUGAUAGGGACGGUUGGGGGCAUCCGUAUUCUCAAGCGAGAGGUGAAAUUCUUGGACCUUGGGAAGACGAACAGCUGCGAAAGCGUUUGCCUAGGACGUUCUCUUUAAUCAAGAACGAAAGUUGGGGGAUCGAAGACGAUCAGAUACCGUCGUAGUCUCAACUAUAAACUAUGCCAGCUAGGGAUCGGUGGGUCUUUGUCACGAGUCCAUCGGCACCUUACGAGAAAUCAAAGCAUUUGGGUUCCGGGGGGAGUAUGGUCGCAAGGCUGAAACUUAAAGGAAUUGACGGAAGGGCACCACCAGGAGUGGAGCCUGUGGCUUAAUUUGACUCAACACGGGAAAACUUACCAGGUCCGGACAUAGUAAGGAUUGACAGAUUGAAAGCUCUUUCUUGAUUCUAUGGGUGGUGGUGCAUGGCCGUUCUUAGUUGGUGGAGUGAUUUGUCUGGUUAAUUCCGUUAACGAACGAGACCCGCGCCUGCUAAAUAGUCGGCCUCACUUCUGUGGGUGUUGUACUUCUUAGAGGGACCAUCCUGGGUAUACCGGAAGGAAGUUGCGGGCAAUAACAGGUCUGUGAUGCCCUUAGAUGUUCUGGGCUGCACACGGGCUACACUGCAAGAUACAACAAGCGUCGAUCACGCCUGACUGGAAGGUCCGGCCAAUCUUUGAAUAUCUUGCGUGAUUGGGAUAGACCAUUGCAAUUAUUGGUCUUCAACGAGGGAUUCCUAGUAAACGCGUGUCAACAACACGCAUUGAUUACGUCCCUGCCCUUUGUACACACCGCCCGUCGCUCCUACCGAUUGGAUGUUUCGAUGAGCCGUUUGGAGGACUAAGCUGAAAGCGUCAGCCGGAAGCUACGUCCGAAAUUCUGCAAAUCUGAAUAUCUAGAGGAAGGAGAAGUCGUAACAAGGUAGCCG
rnacentral:rRNA from 1 species